AAAAGCACUUUGAAGAGAGAGUUAAAGAGGACGUGAAACCGAUAAGAUUGAAACGAAUAGAGCUGACGUAACCAGUCUGCAUUCAGCUGUCGAGUUGUGCGUUCGUUGGUUGACCGUGUUGCGUGCCUGUUGCGCGCGGUCGAUUGACGCUUCGUGCGGCGAGGCGGUGGUUUUGCGGAUGUAGUGCGCUGGAAAGCGUUCUGCAGCGGUACGAAGCUGACAUUGAGGGCUUUGCGCUUGCGUGUGGAGUGUCCCAUGUUGGUGGAGGACUGUUUGCGGGGUGCGUGCGAGCAUGGCCUUCGAGCUGGUCGAUUGCUGGGGGUGUCACGGGAUGCGUUCGCAUGCGGACGCGCUUGUGGCUAACUCGGCGGUUGGCCUAUGUUCACUUGCUCUCAUCCGGUGUAAGAGUCGGUCAUCUAUUCGACCCGUCUUGAAACACGGACCAAGGAGUUUACCAAGUAUGCGAGUCAUUGAGCGUUAAAAACUCAUAGGCGUAAUGAAAGUGAAGACCGUCGUGAUUACGAUUGAUAUGCGAUCCUUGUUUGCUUCGGCGGCAGGGCGUAGCAUAGCCCCAUUCUGAUUGCUUGCAAUAGGGUGGAGGUAGAGCAUACUUGGUGAGACCCGAAAGAUGGUGAACUAUGCCUGAGCAGGAUGAAGCCAGAGGAAACUCUGGUGGAAGUCCGAAGCGGUUCUGACGUGCAAAUCGAUCGUCUGACUUGGGU
rnacentral:rRNA from 1 species